UAUACAAUUGCAGCUGCUUAGCUAAAAAGUGUUAAUCAGAAGCAAAAGUGGAUGGCGUGAUGCCAGUAAGAUGGUAUCGAUAUGAUCUAGUCUCAAUUAAGUUAGUCGCAGACUGUUUACCGUUUAACUCCUGUCCCAAUCUAAUCUAGUGGGUUCAAAAAGAAGAGACCGCGCUGGAAACAUGAGUGGAUUAAAAGGAUCAGCUCUUUUUGAAUCAAUAGUUGAAGUGGUAACCAGCUAGAAGUCGUAACCUGCUCGUAUGAAAGGAUUUCUCGACGUGAAAUUGUUAAUUUUAUUCAGCAACGCCAAGAAACAGAGCUCGCUCAAGAAACAGAAAA
rnacentral:lncRNA from 1 species